rnacentral:rRNA from 1 species
UACAGAGGAUGCAAGCGUUAUCCGGAAUGAUUGGGCGUAAAGCGUCUGUAGGUGGCUUUUUAAGUCCGCCGUCAAAUCCCAGGGCUCAACCCUGGACAGGCGGUGGAAACUACCAAGCUUGAGUUCGGUAGGGGAGACUGGAAUUCCUGGUGUAGCGGUGAAAUGCGCAGAUAUCAGGAGGAACACCGAUGGCGAAAGCACUCUGCUGGGCCGACACUGACACUGAGAGACGAAAGCUAGGGGAGCGAAUGGG